CCAAGUUCCAGUAGGAUUGGUAUUGUGUUUGGUCUUUCACAGUACCAUCCAAAGGACAUGUCAAUCCUAUUUCUUUUUCUUCUUCUUCUUCCUCAUCCAAAUCAAUGCCUUCUCUAGCUGUGUAGCAGGAGGCAAAGAAGAAGGUGUUGACUUUUGAUUGUCCUCUUAUGUACCUCCGUUCUAAUGGUUGUUGUUCAAGCUGCCAAACUCGACCUCCCCAAAUCCCCUCCUUCUCUUUCUCUCUCCUCCCCACACAUCUCCUCUCUCCUCUAUGAACCCCACUCUCUCUCUCUAGCCCUCAUGCACUCCGAUUCCUCUUUCUCUCUCUACCCUUCUUUUUCCCCUUUCUCUCUCCCCUCCCACUCCCCAACUCUUGACUUUCCCCAAACCUUCAUCCCCUCUCCCUCCUCCUCCGCCACCUUCCUCCGCCUCCAAAACCCUAACCCUAAUUCCACCCCUCGGGUCCUUUUCCUCGUCGCCUCGCCUCACCGCGCCGGCGCCGCUGUCCACCUCCGCUUCUGGAUCCUCCGCAAGUCCCGAUCUUUUGUAAAAGCGCAGGUUGUUUGCAAUCAGAGCGGGCUUAGGUUCGAUAGUAGGAAGGUAGGGGUUGUUUUUGAUGUCAAUCACGGGGUUUCGAUUCAGCUGGUUGGUUCGAUAAACGUUUUCGCCAUGUAUUCGGUGUCGAAUUGUAAGAUUUGGGUUUUCGCGGUGAAGAUGGCGGGGGAUGAGGACGAUGAUGGGGUGACUGUGAAGCUGAUGAAGUGUGCUGUGAUUGAUUGUUGUAAGCCUGUGUCGGCAAUCAGUGUUUCGUUUGGGUUUUUGAUAUUGGGGGAGGAAAAUGGGGUUAGGGUUUUCCCUCUGAGACCCCUUGUGAAAGGGCGGGUUAGGAAACAGAAGAAUUUGAACAGUAGAGUGAACAAUGAUAGAAUUGUGGGUCAAAGGUCUAGUUUGCCGAAUGGGGUAAUUCAAAAAAUGAAUGAUAGUGAUGAUUUGUCUAGUAAUUCGGUGAUUAGAUCCAGUUAUAGGGUUGGUGGUGAAGGGAUAGUAGAGAAUUCUUCAAAUGGUUACCCGGAAGGGAAGAUCGACAAACAUGGCGAUCGUGUAAAGCCAAGGUCUAUGAAACUGAGACAAGACUGUAAAGGAGGAGGUGUGUGUUUUGUGGCAUUUAAGAGCAAGGAGGUUGAAAACUUCCAAUCAACAAAACCACUGAAUUCAGCAAAGGCAAUUUCAAUUGAUGCCUUAUCUGCGACUAAAUUUAUGAUCUUGGACUCACUGGGAGGUUUACACCUUCUGUGCCUGUCCAGUCCUGUCCUUGGUCCAGAAAUUCCUUGUCACAUGAAUUGUUUAACUUCCGCCAUGGAAGUUCAAAAACUGGCUGUUCUUCCUGAUACUUCAACAAGAACAGAAACAAUUUGGUUAUCGAAUGGACAUCAUUCUGUACACAUGAUGACAUUAUCUGACCCGGAUACUUCUGUUAAUGAGAGUGAUAAAGAAAACAGUGAGGAAAAGCCAAUGCAAUUUUCAGUUACUCAAGCGAUAUUUAGCAGUGAAAAGAUUCAAGAUAUUAUUCCUUUUGCUGGAAAUGCAAUAUUGAUUCUUGGACAUGGAAGUAUAUUUGCAUAUGCGAUUUCCUGAAAGUUCUUGGUGGCUACCUCUUUGGAUUGGGUAUUUAUGUUUGAGGCCAGAUUAAAUGAUUUAUGCCAGUUGAGUGGGUUCCUGGAUCAGUCUUUUGUUUAAAAAAUUGGCUGUCACUUAUGGUUCUGUUUCUCAUUUCAUCUCUCCGUCCGUGAGCUGCAUUUAUCUCAUGUAUUUACUGGUACACAUGGCCUCGAGGACACCGAGUUCUUAAAUACGUUAGUACUAUGGGACCAGUUGGAUGCCUCUCAAUGGAGUUCUGAAUCAUGUGCGUGAUCUAGUCUUUUGACAAGUCAAAAGCCUCCUUUGCUCCAUCGCCUGCUUCUGUAGGCUGCAAGAGAAAUUUGUGGUAAAUGUGAGAUCCUGUUGGCAGUUGGUUUCGUAUUUCUUCUGUUUGCUGCUGUUUGUGGUGCUUUAUAAAAUCUGUGGUUGCCAGCUGAAGAAGUAAACCAGCAUCCACCCAAAGUUCAUGAAGGUAUGGGGCAGCUUUUGCCAUAAUGUUGCAAGAUAUUUAAGUUCGAUCAUCAUAUUUAUUACCCCAUGCCAUCCAUUAUCAAGCUUGUUAGGAUAAAAAUACUAUUGAAUCUCAACCAUAUGCUGAAAUUUUGGGCUGUGGCAGUAAGUGCACUGAAUCAUGUAAUACAAGAAAUUCUACUUAUGACACUGCUCCUUGUGUAAUUAUUCUUCUUCUUUGGUGGAACAUGAAUAUUUAAUAUCAUCAACCAUCAGACCUUAAUGCUACCAUUUCUUAUGGCAUCC